rnacentral:tRNA from 1 species
GCUCAGUUGGUUAAGCAUCUGACUCUUGAUUUCUGCUCAGGUCAUGAUCUCACAGUUUGUGGGUUUGAGCCCCACAUUGGGCU